UACGUAGGUGGCAAGCGUUAUCCGGAAUUACUGGGUGUAAAGGGUGUGUAGGCGGGACUGCAAGUCAGAUGUGAAAAUUAUGGGCUCAACCCAUAACCUGCAUUUGAAACUGUAGUUCUUGAGUGAUGGAGAGGCAGGCGGAAUUCCGUGUGUAGCGGUAAAAUGCGUAGAUAUAUGGAAGAACACCAGUGGCGAAGGCGGCCGCCUGGCCUGUUGCUGACGCUGAGGCACGAAAGCAUGGGGAGCAAAUAGG
rnacentral:rRNA from 1 species